rnacentral:rRNA from 1 species
GAUGAACGCUGGCGGCGUGCUUAACACAUGCAAGUCGAACGGAAAGGCCAGUGCUUGCCCUGGUACUCGAGUGGCGAACGGGUGAGUAACACGUGGGUGAUCUGCCCUGUACUUCGGGAUAAGCUUGGGAAACUGGGUCUAAUACCGGAUAGGACAACUUUUUGGAUAUUGUUGUGGAAAGCUUUUGCGGUAUGGGAUGAGCUCGCGGCCUAUCAGCUUGUUGGUGGGGUAAUGGCCUACCAAGGCGUCGACGGGUAGCCGGCCUGAGAGGGUGUACGGCCACAUUGGGACUGAGAUACGGCCCAGACUCCUACGGGAGGCAGCAGUGGGGAAUAUUGCACAAUGGGCGCAAGCCUGAUGCAGCGACGCCGCGUGGGGGAUGAAGGCCUUCGGGUUGUAAACUCCUUUCGCUAGGGACGAAGCGAAAGUGACGGUACCUGGAGAAGAAGCACCGGCUAACUACGUG